rnacentral:rRNA from 1 species
CUGACACAGGGAGGUAGUGACAAUAAAUAACAAUGCCGGGCUUUUCAAGUCUGGCAAUUGGAAUGAGAACAAUUUAAAAUCCUUAUCGAGGAUCAAUUGGAGGGCAAGUCUGGUGCCAGCAGCCGCGGUAAUUCCAGCUCCAAUAGCGUAUACUAAAGUUGUUGCAGUUAAAAAGCUCGUAGUUGAAGUUCUGGUCUUGGACGGCGGUCUGCCUCAAACGAGGUACGUACUAUCUGUCCGAGUCCAUCUUCGGGGAAAACAUAUCUGUGAUUAAGUUCAUGGGUAUGGGAUCCUCGUCAUUUACUGUGAGCAAAAUAGAGUGUUCAAAGCAGGCUUAUGCCGUUGAAUAUAUUAGCAUGGAAUAAUAAGAUAAGACCUUGGUCUAUUUUGUUGGUUUGUACUCCAAGGUAAUGAUUAAUAGGGAUAGUUGGGGGUAUUCGUAUUCAAUUGUCAGAGGUGAAAUUCUUGGAUUUAUGGAAGACGAACUACUGCGAAAGCAUUUACCAAG